CAGAUCCUUAUUGGAUUGUGUCGAUCCUUCCAAGAUCUACGCUAGCCGACAGCACCUUCACUCAAAUGUCAUCCUAACUUUAGCACACACGUUUUUCUGCAGAUAUGGAAUCGGCAAUAAUUCAAUAAUUGUAAUCAAUUGUGCUCGAUACAAAGUGGGUCAGUUUGAAAUGUAAGUAGUGUCCUCGUGUGUGAGAUCGAAGGGACAUUUGUAACGAAGCACCCGGAAUUUUUGAGCUGAGUUUGCCGUUUACGAGGACCACCGUGUAUAGUAACAAUUGGUUUGGGCUUUACGGUAAUUUCGAGAAUUUUCCGCGAUACCGAGGAGAUACCGUAGUUAAUUAGUCCGUCUACGACCGUUCAUGUUGGAAUUAUUUUUGUAACCACCGAAGGGUUUUGUCCUGGAGAAGAUGAAGGACAAUUAAUAUUUUUUGAUUUCAGCGCAGUUAAUUGUUUAUAGGCCGUUUUAGUUCCCCAUAAUAAGUAAAAGCAAAGAUAGAACAAGUUCCGAGGAGGGUUGUUUUGUUCGUUAUCAGUUGGCGGCGUGCGGCGAGAUUUUGGUGUCAAAUUCUCGUGCUUAAAUAACGAAUCGAUUGCCAGAUGUUCUGGACUUUUAUCGAUUGCCGAAGUAACCGGCUGGAAUUUCCGGAAUUAACAUCAUAGAUUGAGACUACCUGCGAGGCUACCGAAAACGACCAGACCCGAGAUUUCGUCUGGUUCGUUCCCUGUAUGCUUUCUACAUCCUACAUUCACCGCCGUUUUCUACCGCCGACUACCGCUUGAUAAAUUACCCUGUGUAUUACAAUAUAUUAAAUAAAUUAGCCUUGAAUUUA